rnacentral:rRNA from 1 species
UACGAAGGGGGCUAGCGUUGCUCGGAAUUACUGGGCGUAAAGGGCGCGUAGGCGGAUAUUUAAGUUGGGGGUGAAAUCCCGGGGCUCAACCUCGGAAUUGCCUUCAAAACUGGAUAUCUUGAGUUCGGGAGAGGUGAGUGGAACUCCUGGUGUAGCGGUGAAAUGCGCAGAUAUCAGGAGGAACACCAAUGGCGAAGGCAGCUCACUGGGACGGUAUUGACGCUGAGACGCGAAAGCGUGGGGAGCAAACAGG